rnacentral:rRNA from 1 species
UCUGGUAGUUAUGGCGAGAAGGUCACACCCGUUCCCAUCCCGAACACGGUAGUUAAGCUUCUCUGCGCCAAUGGUAGUUGGGGGCUU